rnacentral:rRNA from 1 species
GUGGGGAAUAUUGGACAAUGGGCGAAAGCCUGAUCCAGCCAUGCCGCGUGUGUGAAGAAGGUCUUCGGAUUGUAAAGCACUUUAAGUUGGGAGGAAGGGCAGUAAGUUAAUACCUUGCUGUUUUGACGUUACCAACAGAAUAAGCACCGGCUAACUUCGUGCCAGCAGCCGCGGUAAUACGAAGGGUGCAAGCGUUAAUCGGAAUUACUGGGCGUAAAGCGCGCGUAGGUGGUUCAGCAAGUUGAAGGUGAAAUCCCCGGGCUCAACCUGGGAACUGCAUCCAAAACUACUGAGCUAGAGUACGGUAGAGUGUAGUGGAAUUUCCUGUGUAGCGGUGAAAUGCGUAGAUAUAGGAAGGAACACCAGUGGCGAAGGCGACUACCUGGACUGAUACUGACACUGAGGUGCGAAAGCGUGGGGAGCAAACAGGAUUAGAAACCCCUGUAGUCC